GAUGAACGCUGGCUACAGGCUUAACACAUGCAAGUCGAGGGGAAACGCCGGGGAAGCUUGCUUCCCCGGGCGUCGACCGGCGCACGGGUGAGUAACGCGUAUCCAACCUGCCUCUGACUGAGGGAUAACCCGUCGAAAGUCGGCCUAAUACCUCAUGGCAUCGUCUGCGGGCAUCCAACGACGAUUAAAGAUUUCAUCGGUCAGGGAUGGGGAUGCGUCUGAUUAGCUUGUUGGCGGGGUAACGGCCCACCAAGGCUACGAUCAGUAGGGGUUCUGAGAGGAAGGUCCCCCACAUUGGAACUGAGACACGGUCCAAACUCCUACGGGAGGCAGCAGUGAGGAAUAUGGGUCAAGGGGCGGGAGCCUGAACCAGCCAAGUAGCGUGCAGGAUGACGGCCCUAUGGGUUGUAAACUGCUUUUAUGCGGGGAUAAAGUGAGGGACGUGUCCUUCAUUGCAGGUACCGCAUGAAUAAGGACCGGCUAAUUCCGUG
rnacentral:rRNA from 1 species